rnacentral:rRNA from 1 species
GAUGAACGCUGGCGGCGUGCCUAAUACAUGCAAGUCGAGCGAACAGACGAGGAGCUUGCUCCUCUGACGUUAGCGGCGGACGGGUGAGUAACACGUGGAUAACCUACCUAUAAGACUGGGAUAACUUCGGGAAACCGGAGCUAAUACCGGAUAAUAUAUUGCAUCGCAUGGUUCAAUAGUGAAAGACGGUUUUGCUGUCACUUAUAGAUGGAUCCGCGCCGCAUUAGCUAGUUGGUAAGGUAACGGCUUACCAAGGCAACGAUGCGUAGCCGACCUGAGAGAGUGAUCGGCCACACUGGAACUGAGACACGGUCCAGACUCCUAGGGGAGGCAGCAGUAGGGAAUCUUCCGCAAUGGGCGAAAGCCUGACGGAGCAACGCCGCGUAAGUGAUGAAGGUCUUCGGAUCGUAAAACUCUGUUAUUAGGGAAGAACAAAUGUGUAAGUAACUAUGCACGUCUUGACGGUACCUAAUCAGAAAGCCACGGCUAACUACGUG